rnacentral:lncRNA from 1 species
AAGUUUUAGUCUUCUUCCCUCCAGCAUAAAACUCGCAAAAAUUUCAGCCAAAUGCAUUCUAAUGAAAUCCCAAAUACAACUUUCUGGAAAAUAGCAACAAUGGUAGCAAUAAAAAUAAUGGAGAAGAAAAAAUAAAUUCGAAAAGAGUUAAAUCUUAUACAACCUACCUUGGAGCAAUGACAAAGAGGAUUCCCAAUAAUUGAUGAUAUAUCAAUCAAUUGAAGGCCGGUGUAGGCGAUGCCCAGUAUUUCGAGAGACAGAGACAAGAUGAGCCUGGAAGAAACGUAGAGCGGGAGAGGGGAUGUGAUGAGCUGUGGGUUCUGGCUGCCUU